rnacentral:tRNA from 1 species
UGGAAAGUACGCAAAUGGGCAAAGCGACUUGACUUUGAAUCAAGCGUUUGAAGGUUCGAUUCCUUCCUUUCCAG